GGUUGUGUUUUUGUUUAUUAUUUUAAUCUUCUGUUAGAAAUGAUUUGAGAGCAGAGAAUUUUGCCAUGGAAGACAAGCUCAAUCAGAUAGAAGAAUGCAGCAGUGUGGUCUGAAGUCUAGUUCGAUGCGCUCCAAAGGAAGAAAACAGAAACGGAUGUGGCCCUGUUAAAGGCCGGUCCGAAAUGCCAUGACAGGAACAGCCUGAUCAUUCACAUGGUCAGCGUGCUGCGCAGGAGUGGUGUGAUCGACCUCUGAGUGACGAGGCUGAGGACCUGGUGAAUGACACCGCGCUGAUUGAGUACUCCAGUGCUGUACUGCUUCACACGGCAGUUAGGUGGUCUCAUCUGCUACGUCUGAAUGCAAUUCUGAGACAGACUGCCGUACUAUCUCCAUUCCCUGUCUAGACCAGGGUGGCACAUCCCUCUCCACAGGAACAAAGGCCAAGAACGAACUGGAACAAACAGGCUGCAGCGUUCGCUCUCAGACAAGGGAGAGACGUGCAGAUCCCAGACAAAGUGAAGGGUCAAAUUAAUGAGCCAAGCGGAUGAUGCAUCAACCAAGCUAGGAGAGACGCAGGAGUCGAACUUGUAACACAUGGCUCUCUGGGGAGAAUGCGAAUUGCUCACGCUCACCAGCAGCGAGGAGCAAUUUGUCAGACUUGUCAUUACUAUACAACACUCAAGGGAAGGGCAUCAAGGGGGCAGGGCCCAAUCAAGUAUUCCAGGGAAGAGCCAUAUGAGUAAAGCAAGCACCCUCUUCACUGGUUGGCUCAGUCCAGAUUAUAAAGACCGUGAUGCAAAGCAGUCUGAUGAUAGGUUGGGAUAGACCUUCAGUGGACGAGCAACAGAACUUUCAUUCACGGUUACAGGUUUGUUGCCUUCUACAGCUACAGUCCCCUGAAAGACAGCCCCAAUGUUCGUCCGAGUCGAGAAGUGGCCUUUAAGGAAGGGGGCACAGUCUGGGGGUUUGGAAAACCCAGGAGGUAUAUCUUCUGUGAU